ACAGCUCGGUCGGUAAAGCACGAGACUCUUAAUCUCAGGGUUGUGGGUUCAAGCCCCACAUUGGGUG